ACGGCCUUAAAACCUCCGUCACAGGAGGCUCUGUCCAGCCAGGAAGAGCUCUGAUCUGCUUCUGAGGUUUCUGUUUUCAUUUUCCAUCGCCGUGAUGGAGAGGCAGCAUUAGCUCGUUAGCGCUGCGCUCGUCACAAUCAUUCCUCAAUGCUGCUAAAAUGCAAUAAAGCUAAACGAGUCUGGAGAAUAAAAAGGCUCUGAAACAGAACUCUGACUGGAGCCUGAAGGUGUGAGAUGGUGGACUGGAUGACACCAGAUGGAGGUCUGAGGAUCAGUGAUUGCUUCUGCUGGAGCUCCUCCUGGUCCUCAGGAACAGAGCUGAAGGUGACCGGCUCCUCUGAGGGCCAACGGAAAAUCCCAGAGCCUUCAGGAGGUCAUGGAGCUGAACCCCGUUACAUACUGAAGGACCACUUUCACACAAACAUCGUGGUUGUAGGAACCGUUCUUCAGAGUUGUUGUGGUGAAAUUAUCCUUACCUUGGUCCACUCGAUGUGCAGAAGUCUGGAUCUCUGGUGGCAUCUCACAGGAACCGAACUCUUCAUCCCGACCGCCUGCAGAACCACAGAAUAGACCAGAACUUAGAGGGAAUUACUGCAGAACAGGUGGAGCUGGUGUUAGGGUGGUUCUGCUCCGGCUUCUUACCCGACUCUGAGGCUGUUUCUGGGGUUCUGGACCGAGGAUCCUGGUGGUCUCGGUGGGUCCGUCUGUCCACAGCUCUGGUCUGGUCCUGGUGGUCUCGGUGGGUCCGUCUGUCCAC